GGUGAUUUCUAGGGAUGGUAACA
rnacentral:siRNA from 1 species